AUUAUGGUAGGAUCGGGAACAAGUGUGUGCAUGGACGCUCCAGAUCCUUCCUUCUGAAAAAAAUAAUUCAUUUGUAAUAGCGAACGAUUGCCCGUUUCGGCGGUCCACAGCAACUACAAGCAACACGCGGUAUUUUGUCAGUACUUGUGAAACUUGUAAUACGGUGUUUCAGCAUCAUGAGCUCAGCCACGACACUCAAUUUCUUAGCAAUUCAAUCAGAAUUUGUUUCCACGAUCGUUUAUAAUUUCCUCACAUCAGCGAUAUCAUUAAAAUAAAAACAUGGAACUUAUUCUAUAUUCCACAAUAUCAUCACGAUGUAAUUUUACUGUAUCUGACCAACAUCUCGUGCAUUUUCUCGUGCAAUUCAGAGCCCGAUCCUUCGCUUGCUCGAACUAUUGUGCAAAUUUAUUUCACGAGUCGCUUCCGAUAAGAUUCGAGCAUUGACUGAACACAACCACCACGGACCACUUUGCCAACCUACUCUCCCAAAACCCUAAU
rnacentral:lncRNA from 1 species